rnacentral:rRNA from 2 species
GGGUUAGUAGGUUGGUCAUGCCUCUGGUAUGUACUGGUCUCACUGAUUCCUCCUUCCUUAUGAACCGUAAUGCCAUUAAUUUGGUGUUGCGGGGAAUUUGGACUGUUACUUUGAAAAAUUAGAGUGUUUAAAGCAAGCUAACGCUUGAAUACAUUAGCAUGGAAUAAUGAAAAUAGGACGUUCGAUCUUAUUUUGUUGGUUUCUAGGAUUGACGUAAUGAUUAAUAGGGAUAGUUGGG